GAAAGUUAACUUAAUUUGUGAUAUAAAGUGGUUUCGUCUGUCUGGAUUAACUUCCGAGACUCCUGGAGACUUUUGGACCUCUCCAGAAAGACUUAUGGAAACUCUUACAGGAUUUACCUCCAUUGUUCCCAAGACUUCGGCGCAAUUGGGUUUGAUUGAAGAAUGUUCUAUGGGUUAGUGGACAUUGCCCGUAGUAUGCUGUACGCCUAAUUGCAUUUAUGGAUUACUGUUACAGAUUUCGGAGCCACUCAUUUCGGUUGAACGCGCCCCUCAGAGCCCUCAGAGCCCACAGAGCAGCGCCACCCUCGAUUUUGGGGGCGCCACGCUUGGCCAAGCUUCGUCUUAAGACGCCGGGGGCCCAGGCCCGGCCAAAGAUGCCGGGAAUUGGUUCCGAGUGAGUGACCAGCAAGUUUGGUCAACCGCAACGGGGCAAGCGAGAGGCAACAACAAAUUGAUUAGCUCCGCAGUCAUGGUUGUUGUUGUUGUUGUUGCACAUUUAGCUGGUUGACGCCUGGCACGACCGAAGGCAAACGGCGAAACCCUUUGACAACAUAAUUACAUAAUUAGCUACCAAUGAGCGGAGCGCAGUUUGGACCAUGGUCAACCAGAGAGAGAGAGAGGGAGAGCAACCCCUGGCUACUUCCCUCGUCAGCUGUUUGAGCCGGGCCCAGCAAGGAGCCAGGAGCCGAGGGAAAAGAUGAUUGAAUGACUCCAGGACGAACGGAGUGCAGUGCAGUGCAGGGAAAGGUGAAUGGCAGGAUCCUAGGAUGCCUUGGGAGGAGGAUCAUCUGUCAAGCGCAUUUAGCUAAAAUGCAUUAAAACCAGAGAAAAGCAGGACAAUGCCCCGAACCGCUCCGAACCGAUCCGAGUAGAGCCCAAAGAUCAAUAAGAGGACACUUUGGCUAAGCGGCUUACACAACGACAAGGACAACGACAACGACAUCGACUCGGAAGUGCCUAAUGCAUCAUGUUGCAUCUACAUGCUGAAGACAUGCAAACAGAAGGAGGGACAAUGGCCUCGGGAAGGGAAAAGAACAAUGCGGCUAACCGUGCGCAAGCGGCUCAGCGGAGAUAACGGCGGCAAAAAGGACAUGGGAAAAAAGUAAUCCCAGCAAGGACAACAAGGACAACGGUACAACGACAACACACAACCUGUGGCAAUGUCACCGACAUCAAGUAGCUGCAGGAGGAUUGAUUACCCAGCCGAUUAAGAGCCGAUUACCAGUGACAUUGGUUCCCAUGAAUGAAUCUCCGUAGCACACCAUAGCCCUGAAUGGAUGUCGCUCCUGCGGCAAAAGAUCAUAGAAUCCUAUGGGACGGGGGGGAGGCACUGAAGCUGGUUCAGGUGUCACAGAUUCCCAGCCUCUCUAAUCCCGCCACAAGCAGAAUAACCAAAGCGAAAUCCCAACCCCUUUGGCUGGAACCAUCUCAGGGUCUUUAAGCUUUUCAAACGGAGGCCCAUGUGCAUCUGUGCAUCAAAAAUCAAAGCCAAUCUGCAGCCUCAUGAAGAUGAUAUCGACAUUAGCCAAUAGCUUAUCUAAAGAUACUUAAAAUUACUUUUUUCGAAUCAGAUUUUUGAAUGCAAACGGAACCACAUAGAUGAUGUAUCUAAAAGCGACAGUUUUCCUUGGACCAGUAUAUCUUUUAAUCGAGGACUUUCCCAAGCGAAUACUUAUCCAGCAAGCAUCGGAUUACUCUAGAAGAUACAGGAAAAACAGUAAUCAUAUAAAGAGAGCUACAUGGGAACCACCAUAUCUUUGUGGACCAUCCGUAAGAUCCAGGUCUUACGCGAGGAUUUGCAUCCAUCUGUUGGGGUGAACCCUUUUUUGGGUCGAGGCGUAAAUUGUGAUGAAAAUCGCUGAAACGCCAUUUAACCGCGACGGCCAUUACCCAACCACCCAGCCACCCAGCCACCCUGCCGCUCUGGCUCCAUCGCCCCCUCCCGCGCACUGGGGCACUUUAUCAACAUUUCCGCGUUUUAUGGCCUCCAAGGAAAUGUUCCACAACUUGACAAAGGCCCAGAGGCCCAGCCGAGAAGCCAAAUUGAAAGAAAAGUUUUAAUUAUUUUUAAUUUUCAUGAUUAGUACUUUGCGUUUACACCACCCAAGACAUGCCUCCUCGGACCAGACCAGGCCAGACCCACCCCUCGACCCAGCCCUUGUUAAUUAAGCUUAACAAUAGUGGGCGUCUCCACCUCCCCACCGCGCCCCGCAUUGGCCCCGUCCCGCGUGGUGAUAAUGAUAAUUUUCUCACUUUCUCUGCUGCCUGCCACCGGGGGAGAGGGGGGACAGCCCCUGGGCUGUGCUGUGGCAUCUUCUGCUCUUGACACAAGUUAAUGAGUUUCGCGCUUUCGCGCCUGCCAAAUGCCACCAUCGGGUGUACUUAACGCUAUUCCUGUAUUUCUGUACUCGACUCCCUGUCUCUAUCUGUAGCUCUCUUUCCGUCUGCGGCUGUCUUGUUGUGCGGCUACCCCCAAAAAAGGCGUUUUGGCUUUUUGGCAAUUUUAUAAUUGUUUCUUUAUGCAAAGCGACAACUCCAGCUCCGAAGAGUAAGAGAAUGAAAACUUUCUAGAUACCUGGUAAGCCCCACGGGCCCCCCUGCCCCCGCCCACUCCCCGUCUAUCAGUAAAUGCUUAAAGCCCUUUUCGGAUAACCAAAAGGCCCAACAUUUCUCAAUGACAAAAGGUGAGUGAGUGGUGGAGCUAAAAGGGGAUUUUCCAUGGGCUUAAGAGGGGCAAGAACUAAAUAUAGAGAGAGGAGUGAUGGCUGGGAUGAGAUGACAAAUUGAUGAAAGCAAAGAUCACAAUACUUACACUACAAAUGGCACUUCCACAAGGGAAACUAAUAUAAUAUAUACCUAUUUUCUCCUUACAGAUCAUGGAAUCCCAUUAUGAACCAGAGGUAAAGAUCUACUUUGGAUGGAAUUUUAACUAAAAGUGGAUGCAAGAAGAGAGUUCUCUCUCUUUAACUCCUUAAAUGUACCUUGAAUAUCAAAAUAAUAACCUUAAGUAUAGCUACGAUAUUUUCAUUAAAGUCUUAGAGCAAAUCCAUGUAAUACCCUGCCCAAACACAAUACAAAUUCUAUAUAAUUACCAGCACACCUGCAGCUGACUUACGAAACGCACUGUAUAGUAUCUGUGUGCAAACACUUGCUGCCAUUUAGGGUCAUGUUUCCCUUACAAACCAUUAGGUCCAUUCAUUUCAACUCCUUUCAAGAUGCUCCCUCCCUUGGCCAAGGACAAUUCCAUUCAUAUUAGCCUAGUUAGCGGGCCUCUCUCUCCCGGCUGUCAUCGGGCAAAUUCCCAAUAAUUCCCCGUAAAUCUAUCAUAGAUUCUUGCACUCAAUUGUGCCGACGACAAUUUGUUGGCCCAACCGAAAGUUCUGAGGGCGUUGCCGACGCACAAAGGGAGACAAAAAGCGAGCAUAAAAAUAAAUUAGUUAGAUGCCCCUCUCGAUCUGACCAGAACAACGAAUAGCAACAAAAAAGGUGUGAUUCCACAGAAACAGAGAGAGCCGGGAGAAAUUGUAACAAGUCAAUUUUUCUUGAGAUGAAAAGGCCGACACCAGGUCCCGGCCCGACCAACGGACCAGACAAUGCGUCUGGUUUGUCUUCUGGUCUUUUUGGUCUGGUCAGCAGGCACAAUUUUGGGACAUGUUUUUGGAAAAAUGUUUACAAAACAUACUACCGACACAUUCCUCCCCUAACCCAACUCCAUUUAAACUAAAUCAAAGCGCAUUGUCUUCGCUGAAAGAACAAAUAUUUUGUUUGGUGUUUUUUUUUUUCAGUGGGGGCGUGGGAAAUGGCAAAUGGCACCAGGAAAACUCUAGGAAUUCAUCUAUUUAAAUAUACCAAAUAGACAAUUUGUAUUCACUGAAUGCUCUCCAUUCCAUCAAUUACUAUCAAUAUUAUUUAUUCCAAAUUUGUGGCUGGCCACAAACGAAGAAUGGAGCCUCCUGACCCAUAAAUCAGUGCAAAAAAAAGAGCAAAUAAAUACAUACAUUUAUUCUGUAUAACUAUAUAUAUUUGUAUAUGUAUGUGCCACCCCUUCUAUAAAAACGAAUGGCAGACAAUGUUGUGGAACGCAUAAAUCUUGAGUAAAUAAUUUUCGCCGGCACAGCCGAAAAUGACAAAGUUUAUUUGGCGGUUGCUCUGUGCGGUGGCCUGGGGAUUUUCUAUAUUUUUGUUUUUUUUUUUUUUUGGGGUUUUUUUUCUCGUUAUUUGCGGAUCCACGCAGAUGGGCGGUUUUGUGUGGUCAUGCCAGAAAUGUAUUUAUGUAUAUGUGUGCAUCUAUAUAUCAUUGAGUCUAUGUAUUCAUACUUAUAACAUUUAAAUUUAGUGCGAACACGAAAACAUGCCGAAUGUUGAAUUGAUAAAGAUGAUGUGGCAUCGGUGGCAAACAUAUGGGUAAAAACAUAAUGCAGAAUGCUGAUUAAUACCAGUGCGGCAGUCAUCUAAUUGAAACCUUUUUAAUUGCAAGUAAAUGUACAUUUUAUCUUAGUUAAAUAUUAGUUUAAAAUACACCAACAACUAAGCGUUUAAAUGGAUCAAAAUUAAUGUUUCGUUGUACAUUCCUUUAGAAAUUAAAUAGAAUUCACAUUUUAAUACGUAUAG